rnacentral:rRNA from 1 species
AGUGGCGAACUGGUGAGUAACACGUGGGUAACCUGCCCAGAAGAAGGGGAUAACACCUGGAAACAGAUGCUAAUACCGUAUAACAACAAGAACCACAUGGUUCUUGUUUGAAAGACUGGUCUUUGUUGCUAGUGCUUCUGGAUGGACCCGCGGCGUAUUUAGCUAGUUGGUGAGAUAAUAGCUCACCGAGGCAAUGAUACGUAGCAGACCUGAGAGGGUAAUCUGCCACAAUGGGACUGAGACACGGCCCAUACUCC